rnacentral:rRNA from 1 species
GAGUUUGAUCCUGGCUCAGAACGAACGCUGGCGGCGUGGCUAAGGCAUGCAAGUCGAACGGACGUAUCGUGAAGGAAACGGAUCGAUACGUUAGUGGCGAACGGGUGAGGAAUACAUGGACAACGUACCCUGGACACGGGAAUAGCGGCGGAACUUCGGUUCCUUUGCGAAAGUGCCGGUAAUACCCGAUGACCCCGUCGGAUCGCAUGAUCGGGCGGGCAAAGCUUUUACGGUCCGGGAGCGGUUCAUGUCUUAUCAGCUUGUUGGUGAGGUAACGGCUCACCAAGGCUACGACGGGUAUCGGGCGUGAGAGCGUGACCCGACACAUCGGAACUGAGACACGGUCCGGACACCUACGGGUGGCUGCAGCAACAAAUAUUCCGCAAUGGACGAAAGUCUGACGGAGCGACGCCGCGUGCAGGAAUAAGUCCCUCGGGAUGUAAACUGCUGUCAGGGGUUAGGAAUAAAUGACCAGCCCCACAGGAAGCACUGGCUAACUCCGUGCCAGCAGCCGCGGUAAUACGGAGAGUGCAAGCGUUGUUCGGAAUUACUGGGCUUAAAGAGCGUGUAGGCGGAGUGUCAGGUGCCGUGUGAAAGCCCCGGGCUCAACCCGGGAAUUGCUCGGCAAACCGGCACUCUUGAGGUAGGCAGAGGUGACUGGAACAACUGGUGGAGCGGUGAAAUGUGUAGAUAUCAGUUGGAACGCCGGCGGGCGAAAGCGGGUCACUGGGCCUGUCCUGACCGUUGAGACGCGAAAAGCGUGGGUAGCGAACAGGAUUAGAUACCCCUGGUAGUCCACGCCGUAAACGAUGCGCACUAGGUAUGAGAGGUGCUGACGCCGAUCGUGCCGAAGCAAAAGUGAUAAGUGCGCCGCCUGGGGAGUACGGCCGCAAGGCUAAAACUCAAAGGAAUUGACGGGGGCUCACACAAGCGGUGGAGCAUGUGGAUUAAUUCGAAGCAACGCGUAGAACCUUACCUGGGUUUGACAUGCACGGAUGCUCUCUUGGAAACAGGAGUAGGCUGCCUUCGGGUGAAACGUGCACAAGUGCUGCAUGGCUGUCGUCAGCUCGUGCUGUGAAGUGUCGGGUUAAGUCCCUUAACGAGCGAAACCCCUAUCGUUAGUUGCCAGCGGGUCAUGCCGGGGACUCUAGCGAGACCGCCGGCGUCAAGCCGGAGGAAGGUGGGGAUGACGUCAAGUCAUCAUGGCCUUUAUGCCCAGGGUGUCUCACGUGCUACAAUGGUCGGUACAGAGCGACGCGAUACCGUGAGGUGGAGCAAAUCGCACAAAGCCGGCCCCAGUUCGGAUUGGAGUCUGCAACUCGACUCCAUGAAGUCGGAAUCGCUAGUAAUCGCGUAUCAGCCAUGACGCGGUGAAUGUGUUCCUGAGCCUUGUACACACCGCCCGUCAAGUCAUGGAAGCCGGGAGUACCCGAAGUCCGCUUAGCCAACUCGUUUCGGCGGGAGGCGGCGGCCGACGGUAAGACUGGUGACUGGGACUAAGUCGUAACAAGGUAACC